rnacentral:rRNA from 1 species
UCCCUACGGGACGCAUCAGUAGUUAAUCUUCCACAAUGUGCUAAAGCCUGAUGGAGCAACGCCGCGUGGGUGAAGAAGGUCUUCGGAUCGUAAAACCCUGUUGUUAGAGAAGAAAGUGCGUGAGAGUAACUGUUCACGUUUCGACGGUAUCUAACCAGAAAGCCACGGCUAACUACGUGCCAGCAGCCGCGGUAAUACGUAGGUGGCAAGCGUUAUCCGGAUUUAUUGGGCGUAAAGGGGACGCAGGCGGUCUUUUAAGUCUGAUGUGAAAGCCUUCGGCUUAACCGGAGUAGUGCAUUGGAAAC